UUGACCUCGGAUCAGGUAGGAAUACCCGCUGAACUUAAGCAUAUCAAUAAGGCCG
rnacentral:rRNA from 1 species